rnacentral:rRNA from 1 species
UACGUAGGGGGCAAGCGUUGUCCGGAAUCAUUGGGCGUAAAGCGCGCGCAGGCGGUCCCUUAAGUCUGAUGUGAAAGCCCACGGCUCAACCGUGGAGGGCCAUUGGAAACUGGGGGACUUGAGUGCAGGAGAGGAGAGUGGAAUUCCUGGUGUAGCGGUGAAAUGCGUAGAGAUCAGGAGGGACACCGAUGGCGAAGGCAGCUCUCUGGCCUGUAACUGACGCUGAGGCGCGAAAGCGUGGGGAGCAAACAGG